CCAGAAGCUGGUAAAUCCUGCUCGUCUGCCUCCCCGACCGCGCUCUGCCACCCAGAGGGCCUUUCCCCGUCACUAACAGGUGGCUCCGGGGAGCCUCAUCGGGCAGCACAGCCCCGAGUGGGUAGGGGGUGCAUUGGGAAGAUUCUGCUGGGACGUUUCCGCCCCACUGGGCCCCGCGGUGUCAGAAGAAGCGAAGGCAGUCUGAACCCCUCCACAGUGUGUGCCUGCCCGCUGUCAGUCACGUCAGGGCUGCGCAUCGGUCCCGGCAGCGGAGGGAGUCCCCGGCGUUGCUGCCAGCCGCUCGACCGGGCUGUGUCGAGCCGUUCCGAGCCGCCAGCUGUGCUCCCCAGCCCCCCCUCCCCUCCUGGGCUACCUGCAAAUUAAAUUAUCCGCCUUGCUGGGCCCCCGGCCACUUCUCUCUAUCCUUGCUCCCCAUAUGCUCCCCUGAAAGAAGCAGUGUCCCGCAGGGUCCCCUGAUUGCCUUGCCCGCAGCUGAAGCCGCGGCUCCGAACAGAUAGGGUUACGGCAAGUGCCGGAGAGAGAGCCCAUAUGUUCUGCGCACACCGGCGGCGGGGCUGCCGAGGGGUCACCUGUGCCUCCAGCCGCACCAGGAGACCUGAGGGACUGGCGCUGCUCCCGCAGGUGGCCCAGCCCCUCCGAGCUGGAGUAGCUACCUUAAUCUCAGGUCCCGGCCCCUCUGAUUACCAUUUCCUUGCUUUCCAUGAAACAAAGACAGAUGCCUCCCUUCGUGCCCCUUCUGCUAUUUUAAGCUGUCGCAGCUGAUUUCUUCAGCCUCUGUCUGAAAAAAAUUGAGUCAAGGAGUCCAGAAUCUGCUUCUCAGCUCUGACUGAGGCAUGCUGCUCCCUCCAAGCCCAUGGUUCCUGCAAGGUGAAAGACUGAUGUCUCAUGUGUCCUGACAGCCUGCAAACUGAGACAUCCACCAGAGGACAUCCCACAGGACGCUGGUGUGACAAGAGUCAAACAGCCUCUGAUGAUGCCACUAGGCCAGCAUCUCUUGCUUGGUGUUGCAAGAUGGUACUUGCAACAUAGCUCUGCUUUGUCCAUGUCAGAGUGGAAUUUCCAUCUCUGUGUGGGAUCUGGACCUCUGGGUCUGUGACUUGACAUUACCCAGAUUAUUUCUGAAUGCUUAGGCAUUUUUGAUUGCACAGCUGAGUGACAGAUUUUCAGAGAAGUUACCAGUACCUAUGCAGAUGCUCAGCACCCACAACCCAGUCCUGUGCUUAUGAAAACCUAGUUGCUCACAUAGGAGUUGAGAUGGGAAGGGAGAGUUGCCAAAAGCCUGACUCCAGUCUAGGAGUCAGAGCAGCCCCUUUCUAAACUUCCAGUCCAGGUGGAUACUUGUUAAAAACAAGUCUUGGGCACACUCUAGUUUGUCAACCCUCUGGCGAUCCUAUGAUCAGCCAGCAAAACUGAAUUUUCCACUACAAAGAUUGAAUAACACAUUUUUCUACUAAAAGUGGUGAAGGGGAGGCAGUAAUUAUAAUGAUAUCAAGAGUCAUGUGUCUGUACCAGCUCUGCCUGUCCAAAAUGUCAUGAAGUACUUGCUGGGUCAGCCUUCAAAAGCCCAAACGUGCCUCCAUCUUGCCACCCUCACUCUUUGGAUGGCGUUUCUGAAGGCAAGAGAGGUUUUGUGUUGUUUUCAGCGGCAACAUAGCUGCGUCUGAAAGUUUUUUGCGGGUUUAUAGUCCAUCUGCUUCAGAACAAAAAAGCAAGGGCUGAAUGCUCAGCCUGAUCACUGCACACACACACACACACACACACACAUAGAGGCCAGAAUAGCCCUGCGGGUGCUGAAAUUUCUGUGCCCAGGGUCGAGAUCCUUCAAAAGCGUGGCACUUACCCCAAGGCUUUUACCCUAAAAGAUGGAUGUAAAUGCAAAAGAGUGUUUCCCUUUUUCAUUCAUCCCCAUUCUUGGGAUUAGCUUUAGAAGUUUUGUUCUGCCAUUUAUCUUCACUUGUUGGAGAUGUCUUGACAAACUCCUGAGAAUUAAUUUCCCAUCAGCUUUUUGCCUCCUCUUCUUGAACUGGCAGGUCAGAUCCCACCAUAUGCAUUAGAAGAGGUUAUCUGGAUGGGCCACCCUGCUCCAUUGUCCCCUCUUAUGCCUGUCCCUGUCCCAGCAGGAAACCAGUGUCAUGCACAUGGAGAGAGCACUGAGGGAAUCAGACUCCUCUUCCAAGAAGCCCUCCACUCCCUGCCUGUCAUCAAUCAUUGCAUCCUGCUGCCAAAACCAAUACAAUUGGAUCAGGCCCAAUACACGGGGUGUUUCCUGCAAGGAAGAAGUGUGCCUUUUAGUUUAAUAUAUUCCCAAUGUUGAUCCUAUUAGCAGGAAAAAUCAAUCAAUCACUGUCAGCAAACAUCACCAGUCUACAGAUUGAUCACAGUGUCAGGAUUGUUGGAGGAUUCUCAGAUGCAGAAGGCAUUUGUUAAAUGCUAUUUUCAGAAAGACAUAUACAUAUAUGUAUGACACACAUUUAUACACCUCUUUGUCUGCUUUAAAAAAAAAAUAAUCCCACACAGUUCCCUUUUUUGUGGUUUAGGAGUUGGGGGGAGGGUUUGUUAGUUUGUUUCAUCAGGUUUAGUUUUUUUUGCUUGUGUGUUUUUUUGGUUGGGUUUUUUUUGCUCUUGUUGUGGGUUUGUUUGUUUGCUUGCUUAUAAAAGCAGACACAGUGCUAGUGACUUUUAUAAGAAAGAUCCUUUUCAGUAGGAAACCAGCAGAGUUUCAGGAGGUGGGGACUUUGUUUUGUUCUUCCUGAAGGGUUUGGAUUGCUGUGCGUAAAGGAAAGGAGUCUGGAGAUGUAUGUACCACAGGAGUAGGAAGGCUGCAGACUCUUUCCAAAGAGUGGAGCUGAGGCAGCAAAAAACAUCAGCUUGCUCUGUGGGAGAGAUAACCCACCAACGUGCAUAUUCAGCUAAUCCCCUCCAGUGCUUGUCCUUCAUUUGGGGCUCUGCUGAAAAGCCCACCAAGAUUUUCUCUCCACAACCUUUGCUCCUUUCCUCCAGAAGAAAUAAUUCAACUUUCUAAUGCUGCUCAAGCAACAUAGAAAGAUUUCCUUGGUGAUGGGUAGUGCAGGUAGCUGAGGGUACCUGGACUUCAGGAAGUGGUUUCCCAUCCCAAACCCACCCAUCCCAAAGCUGGCAAAGCCCAGCGAUCCCAAGAGCCAGGCAGAACCAAGCAUUUUCCCUUACUAGCCCUAGCAUCUCAGUGACAGUGGAAAGCAGGUGAGAUAGCUCUCUGCAAUGCUGUGAGGAGAAGGGUACACUCAGCACAAAUGGCACACAAAGAGGUGAGCAAGGGAGCCUUAGUCAAGAGCCCUGUCUCAAAAGGGAUGGGGGAAAUCUUUUUCCUAUUCUGAACACCAACCACUGCAGGCAAACAAUAUAGAGGGAGAAGGGAGAUAUGAGCUGCAGUUGUGGGGAGAAAAAGACAUAAUCAAAGGGCUCUUGAGAUAAGAGAUGUCAGAUGAAAGGCUGCAUAUCUAUAGCCCCUUCCUCUGUGCUCACUGGGACACGUUUUGGGAAUGCUUUUCCCUGUUUCUGCCAGGCAUGGAGUAGAGGUGCUGUGAGGAGGGAUUUGCCCCCUUAGGACCUCCCUGGCUGCUCCUCACUUUCUAGGAUAGCCAUGUCAAACCAUCUGUGACCAAAUUUACAUGAGCCUAAAGUUAGAAUGUUCCCAAAAGGCACCCCUUGUUUAAGUGCCUGAAGCUGCCCCCUGUAAAACAUCCCGUGUGAACCUCACGAAGAAGAAGUGCCAAAGUGCCUUAACGGUAGCGGACCUCUCUGGUGGGAAGAGUUGCAAUGCCCCAGGCAGCUUUUAUACUGCUUGAAGUGUUUGGUAGCAAUGGAGUGGGGAGGAAGGAAACAUCACCCAUUUGUGAUGUUCACAGGAAAAGCUGUACUCAGAUCAGGACUUACCUCUUGGUGCUACUUGAGCACCAUCCAGUCAUACAGACCUUGGCAUCUGGCAUCCCUGACACUGGAGUGGGAAACAACCCCUGAAGCCAUCCAGCUUCAGUCACUCUCUUACUUGAAAAAAUGCAAAAAAAGAUAGUAAAGAAGAGCAGAGAUGGGAGAAAGGGAGAAACAAACCCACAGCAUAUGUAUCCCUUCAGGAGGGGCUGAGGUGGGGUUCUGAAAAGUGGGAUUUGCUUAAGACAACACAAUAAACACAUGUUUAAGAUUUCA